rnacentral:sRNA from 2 species
ACAAUGGGUUACUAGGGUUCCGGCUUCACAUUUUGAAGUGCUGGUCCGAGAGUAACCGACCUUUCAGCUGCGCACUGUUAAGGUUACACGGAGGGAUAAAAGCCCGGGAGAU